rnacentral:rRNA from 1 species
GAUGAACGCUGGCGGCGUGCCUAAUACAUGCAAGUCGAGCGAACAGACGAGGAGCUUGCUCCUCUGACGUUAGCGGCGGACGGGUGAGUAACACGUGGAUAACCUACCUAUAAGACUGGGAUAACUUCGGGACACCGGAGCUAAUACCGGAUAAUAUAUUGAACCGCAUGGUUCAAUAGUGAAAGACGGUUUUGCUGUCACUUAUAGAUGGAUCCGCGCCGCAUUAGCUAGUUGGUAAGGUAACGGCUUACCAAGGCAACGAUGCGUAGCCGACCUGAGAGGGUGAUCGGCGACACUGGAACUGAGACACGGUCCAGACUCCUACGGGAGGCAGCAGUAGGGAAUCUUCCGCAAUGGGCGAAAGCCUGACGGAGCAACGCCGCGUGAGUGAUGAAGGUCUUCGGAUCGUAAAACUCUGUUAUUAGGGAAGAACAAAUGUGUAAGUAACUAUGCACGUCUUGACGGUACCUAAUCAGAAAGCCACGGCUAACUACGUG